GAUGAACGCUGGCGGCGUGCCUAAUACACGCAAGUCGAGCGAACAGACGAGGAGCUUGCUCCUCUGACGUUAGCGGCGGACGGGUGAGAACACGUGGAUAACCUACCUAUAAGACUGGGAUAACUUCGGGAAACCGGAGCUAAUACCGGAUAAUAUAUUGAACCGCAUGGUUCAAUAGUGAAAGACGGUUUUGCUGUUGCUUAUAGAUGGAUCCGCGCCGCAUUAGCUAGUUGGUAAGGUAACGGCUUACCAAGGCGACGAUGCGUAGCCGACCUGAGAGGGUGAUCGGCCACACUGGAACUGAGACACGGUCCAGACUCCUACGGGAGGCAGCAGUGGGGAAUCUUCCGCAAAGGGCGAAAGCUUGACGGAGCAACGCCGCGUGAGUGAUGAAGGUCUUCGGAUCGUAAAACUCUGUUAUUAGGGAAGAACAAAUGUGUAAGUAACUAUGCACGUCUUGACGGUACCUAAUCAGAAAGCCACGGCUAACUACGUG
rnacentral:rRNA from 1 species